AUCUUAACUAUUUUAUUUACUAUUCAAAAUUCAAAUUGCUUAACUGUUUUAUCUUCAUUAGUCAUCUAUUUAAUUUUAUUCUUGUAAGUCUUUUAUUCUAAUACACCUAAUGUGUUUUUAUAUACCUAAUAUGUUCUAAUACAGCAUAGUACAGAUACAAGUGUUGUGCUCAUAAAAGCUAUUGAGUCACUGAGUGGUAGAAUCAUGCACAUUUUUAUGCUUCAUUACAACAUCAUAAGUCAAACACAAAUGACAUUCUGUCAUUUGCUGCUUUGACUGCAGUGUAAAAUGAAAAAAACAUGAAGAAGCUAACCAAAAAGAAAAAAAAAUUUCCAAUGCAUUUUCUUACAAGGAUUGGAAAAAUCCACAGAAACCAAAUCAAAUGAAUCAUGAGAUAACACAUAAUUAUCUUUCAGCUCCUUUAUUGUCUGUGUUUAUGGCAUGAAGGUUUUUCACCCCAUGAAUUGUAUCUCUCUUUAAUCAUGCAUUCUGCCUUCUAUCACCUCCUCACAUCUCACAGACUGAGCAGGAGGAGGAUGUGUCACUGUGAAAGCUACACAGGUAGCAUUAAAGUAAGGACAGCAAUUGGGAGGAUUAAUUUUUCUUAAGUGAUGUGUGGGUGACUCAGGGCUUCUGGUUGGAACUACUCCACCUUUGAGAUGAGAGCAUGAAAGAAAAACUGUCUCUGCCAUCUGAGUGCCCAUGGCCAGACUUGCAUUCUGCUUUUGGCACUGCUGUGCCACAUUGACCCUAACCCCAACAGUCCUGCAGGUGUAAAGGAAGCGUUUCAGUCUGACCAUCCCACUCCCAAGAUUCACAGCAGUUUAUGAAUGUGUCAGAGAUAAUUUCUUUAAAAGAUACAUAGAAUAAGUGGGUUGCAAAAUGUUACAGAAUCCAGAUACUUUCACAAUGUAAGCUUGUAGCUGCAGGUCAAGUCUGUCCUUGAGCUAAAAGACACAUGGCAGCAGCAGUCAGUCUUCUGAAUCCCCUGUGCUUGUAUCAAGGCGGGGUCACUGCCAGUCAGCCUAGAGAUGCCUCAUGUGGAUUCCCAUUGCAGGUCUUGAGACAUGUAUAGUAAAUGGAUAUUGGUAAACCCAGUCUUUCAACCCUGGAUGUGCUUUGGUAAAGAUCAAAGAUGUAUAGAAAUGGAUUAUCAUCAGAUGCAUUAACGGCUGAGUCUUUGAAAUUAAAAUCUCAAAAAAGAAAAAGGAAAAUGUAUAUAUUUGUUUGUAUAUGUAUAUGUUUGUCAGCUGCAGUGGGUAUCUGAGACUGACCAAUAAGGACAAGAUUUUUCCUAUGUGCUCUUAAGAAAUGUAUGAAGCAAUUAUUUCUGACGUGUUAUACAUGUGCUAUAUUUAAGAUUAUUGAGGCUACUGAAACUGUAAGGUAUGUUCCCCCACAUCUUUUUCUGCUUUCUCAUACUGACGCAUCCCGGAUCUCAUCACUCACUCUGCUCAGAGCUGGGAGACACUGGCCCAAGCUGUGGAUUCCCCUGGAGGACCCAAGGACAUGGAGGCUCAAUGCUACAACUAUUUUCCAGAAAUCAUGAUUCUGAAUAAUGCCAAAGUGCUUGUAUGCUUUUGGGAGCAGAGGGUGGGUCUGCAGUCAUGUAAUGAAACUCAGGACAAAUAUUCACACAUAUAUGCAGCAGGAAUCUUGAUUCCCUGAAGAUGCGUGAGGUAGAAGGUGGGUUUCUAGUCUCCUUGUCCUCCUUGCAGGAUCAACACUCCACUUCUUCCAAGUAUUGAAGUGGGAGCCCUAUAUCCAUAACUUCCCAGGGGCAGAUCAGCUGAGCUUAUGAUGGUUGCUCACUGGAGGUUGACAAUGGGACACUGGCAUCAUGUGCAUGUCACCUGGGCAGGAGGUGGUGCAGAUGAGAAGCAGAUGUCACAUGAAGCCCAGGUGCCUGGACCCUUAACCUGCACAAGCACAUGUUGGGUAUUUGGUUCUCUUCUGCUACUCUGAAGUGGGACAAUCCUUGUUUCCUAAAACACUCAUCUGUUUUCACCUUGGAUUCAGUGCGUUUCACAUUGCUCAGAAAGACAGACAUUUCCAGGGAAGACCGAUCCUGCUGUGCCUGUGCAGGACCAAGAACAUGCAUGAACAGUAAAGAUGCUGAUCCCAGGAAGUGCCAGAACGAUGAUGUGCUCAGUUAGCUCAUCCAGUUCAAAGACUGAGGAUCAUGUGAAGCAUCUUGGCUGGGAUGAUGCUGUGUCCUAUGGUAGUAGAGCCAAGGACCAAGUUUACUUGCAGACUGACUUGCAUGCUGACUGAAUGCUUCCAGAGACAUA
ensembl:lncRNA